rnacentral:rRNA from 1 species
GCAGAGCAUCCUACGGGAGGCAGCAGUGGGGGAAUAUUGCACAAUGGGCGCAAGCCUGAUGCAGCCAUGCCGCGUGUAUGAAGAAGGCCUUCGGGUUGUAAAGUACUUUCAGCAGUGAGGAAGGUGGGUAUGUUAAUAGCAUAUUCAUUUGACGUUAGCUGCAGAAGAAGCACCGGCUAACUCCGUGCCAGCAGCCGCGGUAAUACGGAGGGUGCGAGCGUUAAUCGGAAUUACUGGGCGUAAAGCGCAUGCAGGUGGUUUGUUAAGUCAGAUGUGAAAGCCCGGGGCUCAACCUCGGAAUUGCAUUUGAAACUGGACAAACUAGAGUACUGUAGGAGGGGGUAGAAUUUCAGGUGUAGCGGUGAAAUGCGUAGAGAUCUGAAGGAAUACCGGUGGCGAAGGCCGGCCCCCUGGACAGAUACUGACACUCAGAUGACGAAAGCGGUGGGGAGCAAACAGGAUUAGAUACCCUGGUAG